GCUUCAAGACACAGAGGGACAGAAGAAGCAUCACACCAGACAAGGGAGAGAUACUAAUAGUGCUGUAAUAACAGUGACGGAAUCAGCUGACAAUGAAUACAUUGAACAGUGACUCAGACAGAUUUCCUUGGAGCUUUACCUGCAACCAGAGGGUCUUCUUAAAAUAAAGAAUGAUCAUUGCAGAGAGAUUAAGCCAAAUUCAUCCUUUUGGUAUAAUCCACUGAUUUCAGUAGGACUGCUUGUCUGAUUUUCAGGAUCAAGAACUACUCACUGUCAAAGAAAACUUGUUGGGAAAAUUGCGUACAAGUAAACUAACAUCAGAAUGGGAAAAGUGGAAAGAAAGUGGUCUCCUCAGGUCCAGUGUUUUUAAAAGGUACCGCGUGCUUGCAGCAGUUAACAUCUUUAAGGAGCUUUGAGACUGGUCUGGAUCAGACAUCACUUGCUAGUUCUUUACCAUAAUGAGGAAUUACAUUAAAUCAGAGAAGU